CCUUCUUCCUCUUAUUCUUCUUCCUUCUUCCUUCUACCUCUUCUUCUUCUUCUUCCUCUUUUUCUUAUUGAAACCAAAUCGAAACAACCGCUAAUCUGCGACAUCAAUUUAUGAUUUCAAAAAUAAACCCAAAUCUUCCUCUUCUUCUUUCUUCUACAAAUCUUUGUUUAUUUUGUAUGUUUUUAUUAAAUAACUCAAUUUUUUCAUUUUUUGGUUUUUCAGUUGUUAUUCAUCACUCAUCACUAAGAUCUGGAAAUUAAAGAGGAGUAAAACAUGCUGAAAAUAAUGAAGAUGAAGAGACGGGGGUGUGACAUCCAUGUUGUUGUUCCAACUGCGUAUAUGGCUGCAUAUUACGACAAGUUUGCUUUGGACUCGACAUACACUGUAUCAAACUUUAAAGUCCAGCCAACAAUAUUAAGCUCGAGAGGAAAAAUUAGAAGAGAUAGUCUUAUUAAGCUUCUCGUGUAAAACUAUUUUAAUACGUCUACUGCACUAAAACUAGCCUGAAAAAGAUGAUUAAGUUGUUUCACAAAUUCUGGUGUGUUAUUUUGAUACUGAAUUGUGGUGUUGUAUUUUGAUACUGUUGUUGCUAUGUUUUAACAGCA